GAGUAGUUAUAGGGGUUGAUAUCCUUCUGCCUUUGUGUAGUGCGGGGAUUAUUCUGGUAGAAUGAACUUCGUGAUAGCUUGUUGCGCGGUCCCGGGGGGUGCAAAGUAGUAGAGGAGAUUCUAUUACCAAAAGCUCGCCCGUGUCGGUCCAAGCGUUGUUGGAACGGCUUGGUGUGACGCUCAACUGGUUCUCUUGUUUCUCUAACUUUUGGCUGAGGGGGUGUAGAUGAUCUUUGGUCCUUUAGUUGCUCUGAGACAAAA
rnacentral:lncRNA from 1 species